rnacentral:rRNA from 1 species
UACGUAGGGACCAAGCGUUGUUCGGAUUUACUGGGCGUAAAGGGCGCGUAGGCGGCGCGGUAAGUCACUUGAGAAAUCUCUGAGCUUAACUCAGAACGGCCAAGUGAUACUGCAGUGCUAGAGUGUGGAAGGGGCAAUCGGAAUUCUUGGUGUAGCGGUGAAAUGCGUAGAUAUCAAGAGGAACACCUGAGGUGAAGACGGGUUGCUGGGCCAACACUGACGCUGAGGCGCGAAAGCCAGGGGAGCAAACGGG